ACGCUGGCGGUAGGCUUAACACAUGCAAGUCGUGCGAGAAAGUAUCUUCGGAUAUGAGUAGAGCGGCGGACGGGUGAGUAACGCGUAGGAAUCUACCUAGUAGAAGGGGAUAGCCCGGGGAAACCCGGAUUAAUACCGUAUACCUCCUUCGGGAGAAAGAAGGCCUCUCUUUGAAGCUUUCGCUAUUAGAUGAGCCUGCGUAAGAUUAGCUUGUUGGUGAGGUAAAGGCUCACCAAGGCGACGAUCUUUAGCUGGUCUGAGAGGACGAUCAGCCACAUUGGGACUGAGACACGGCCCAGACUCCUACGGGAGGCAGCAGUGGGGAAUAUUGGACAAUGGGCGCAAGCCUGAUCCAGCCAUACCGCGUGUGUGAAGAAGGCCUUCGGGUUGUAAAGCACUUUAAGCAGGGAGAAAAAGUUAUAAGUUAAUACCUUAUAACCGUGAUGUUACCUGCAGAAUAAGCACCGGC
rnacentral:rRNA from 1 species